rnacentral:rRNA from 1 species
UACGUAGGGUGCAAGCGUUAAUCGGAAUUACUGGGCGUAAAGCGUGCGCAGGCGGUUUUGUAAGACCGAUGUGAAAUCCCCGGGCUUAACCUGGGAACUGCAUUGGUGACUGCAAGGCUUGAGUGUGUCAGAGGGAGGUGGAAUUCCGCGUGUAGCAGUGAAAUGCGUAGAUAUGCGGAGGAACACCGAUGGCGAAGGCAAUCCCCUGGACCUGUACUGACGCUCAUGCACGAAAGCGUGGGGAGCAAACAGG